AAUUUUGGGAAGGGUUAGAUCCAUGCAAGAACAAAUUCAAAUUGACAUGUGUUCUCCUAUCUGUCUCACACUGUGUUGAACACAAUAUUGUCAUACAGGCAAGGUUGAAAUUUCUCCCAAGCCCAUCAUAGCCAUAUAUGCCAUCAGUAACACUCAUCUCACAUUGUCUAUCAGAAGGAAAAUUAGUCUUGUGUUGAUGAUUUCCAACAUCCUGGAUUAGUCAAAGUAAAUAAGCUGGUUGCUCCUAAAAGAUGCUUCCCGGUAAGCGAAACAAAACAAACUGCUGUGAUAUCUUUGAAAAAGUUGUCUCAAAUCAGACAAUCAAUUUGACUCACUGACCACAAAUCAAAAUUCUAAAUACUUAUGUCAUCCUUUCCCGGGGUGGCCAACUAGCCUUUUAGGCUGUAACCCUUUUGAUCCCUCAAAACAUUGAGGCUGCAACUCCUUCCUAAAGUAUAUGCAGCUAUCAGAGGCUGAGCCAAAGCUCCAUUCACAACCAACUAGUUUUAAUUUUCAUACUUGGUUGAUAUAGUAACAAGCUCAUCACGGAUGCGUCUACACAAUUUAGAAUGACCAUAAUCAAUCAACAGGGAGUCGAAAAAUGAACAACCUAAUCAUUCACUAACAUCUAAAACUAUUCAGGCCUUACCCUCUUUCAAGAUUUAAAUCCAACCGUUGACCGGCAGUAAGCUUGUCAACCUCAUACCUGCAUGAACAAAUAAUAUUGGUUGAUGAAACUGGCACUCAAAAGUAGAAUCAUUUUUCCAACAAUUCAAUUGUACCUUAGUUCACUGCGCAUUUUUUCAAUGUCAUUCCGAAGCUUUUCAAGUUCACGUUGCAGCAGAGAAAAAUGAUGUUCCUGCAACAAAUUUUUUUUAAUCGGUAUGAAUUCCAUACAUCAAACUCAAACCAAUGCUCAUUCGGGGAUAGAACAAAAACAUAUAUCAUGAACAUAUAUAUUAUUAGCACAACCAUGAUGCAAUAAUCAUCAGUCCAACACUGAGUUUGAAGUAAAUUUUCCUCCUUGAUCACCCAAUGUUAAGAGAAUUUUGGGAAGGGUUAGAUCCAUGCAAGAACAAAUUCAAAUUGACAUGUGUUCUCCUAUCUGUCUCACACUGUGUUGAACACAAUAUUGUCAUACAGGCAAGGUUGAAAUUUCUCCCAAGCCAUCAUAGCCAUAUAUGCCAUCAGUAACACUCGUCUCACAUUGUCUAUCAGAAGGAAAAUUAGUCUUGUGUUGAUGAUUUCCAACAUCCUGGAUUAGUCAAAGUAAAUAAGCUGGUUGCUCCUAAAAGAUGCUUCCCGGUAAGCGAAACAAAAAAAACUGCUGUGAUAUCUUUGAAAAAGUUGUCUCAAAUCAGGCAAUCAAUUUGACUCACUGACCACAAAUCAAAAUUCUAAAUACUUAUGUCAUCCUUUCCCGGGUGGCCAACUAGCCUUUUAGGCUGAACCCUUUUGAUCCCUCAAAACAUUGAGGCUGCAACUCCUUCCUAAAGUAUUUGCAGCUAUCAGAGGCUGAGCCAAAGCUCCCUUCACAACCAACUAGUUUUAAUUUUCAUACUUGGUUGAUAUAGUAAAAAAAAAAUUAUGACCGUGGUGUCCGGGCUUAGCUUUCGCACAUCUCGAC
rnacentral:lncRNA from 1 species